AUCAUUUUAACAUUUCAAAAUAUUACAUAUUUAAAUUGUGUGUUUUUUCUUCUUAAUAUACAUUCCCUGAGUACAACAUUUAAAAACUCUCAAGGAAUAAUGCUUUAUGAUUUCACCUAUUUUAUAUCCAAUGGAAUAUUCCGCUGCCUUGAUUGGUUUAAAAGUUUGAAUCGCUUCAUUUCUCCUGAUUGCUUUCGGCGGGACAGGAACAUAUGGGCAUUGAGUAAAAUAUGAUUUAUUAAACUAAAUGUUCAGAUUUAUCCACUUAAAAUGAUUUGGCGUUGUGUUAUUUGCUGCCUCUUUGUGGCAUUGUCGUUAAGAGCUCUGCUGAGUCACAUAAACACCGUGCAUAGUUCCAGCCCGGAUUUCCACGUGAUCUGUGGGAUUGAUGGUUGCGCUCAGGAAUAUCGAGUCUACAACUCAUUUUACUAUCAUGUCAAACGGAGGCAUUCUUCGCAUUUUAUCAGUCACAAAUCGAGGUCAAGUGGAAGCCAAAAUUCAGCUCAAGCUAAAGGGAACAAUUGCCGUGCGUGUGCAUCUGCAGAUAUUGGAAUCCAAGUGGAAGAGAGACUUUUCGAGAAUUUCGGUAUCCCACUUCAGCCAGAAUUUCUGCCAAAUGAACAUGUGUCAAGCAUACCAGGAAAUACCAACGACGAGGACAAUUUUAACUUUACCGGUGGCCAAGCACCAGACAUAGCCGAUUCCGCCAGCUCUGUUGAUGGCGCUGCGUCUACACCGUUGACUGAACCUGAACAAGAGGCAAUGCACCAUGAAGAAAGUGAUGAGCCUGAAGUUGAUAAACUGAGAAAGCAUGCUUCUGCAUUUGUACUGACUUCAAGAGUGAAACACUGCCUUUCCCAGCGAGCUGUCAGUGACAUCAUUUCCGGGGUGCAGCAGUAUCAAGCCUCACUGUUGGACUGCCUUCGGAGCCAAAUUACAGAUGUUAUUCACAGACAAUCAGGAGUCACUGAUCAAUUGAUGAGUGAAGUUCUGGACAUUUUUAAUAAUUUUGAAGACCCUUUUGAAACAGUUUCCACCACAUAUAUGCAAGAUUCAAAUAUAAAAAAGCAGUUCAAGGUAGUUGAAGCCGAAGAAAUUGAAAUUUCCCAGACUGCAUCCUUUAGGAGAAGAGGAGCCUCACAAGCUCUAACAAUAAGAAAAAUAUGCUUUUACUAUAUUCCUUUGGUGCGAAGUUUGGAACAACUACUUUCACAUCCAAUGAUUGUAGCAAUGUUUGACAAUGGACCAAACCAAAUGGAUUUGGAUGGAUUUGUCAAUGACAUUAUUGAUGGGGAUAUUUUGAAGUCCCAUCCACUGUUCUCUGUGAGACCCAAUGCUCUGCAGCUAUCCUGUAUACUGAUGAGAUAGAACUGUGCAAUCCUCUGGGGUCGUAUG
rnacentral:lncRNA from 1 species